CUCCCUAAUCCUUGCGGGGCGGAGGGGCGGAGUCAGUGGCCCCUUUGGCUUGAACGUCAGCCUGCACACCCCCACGCCUCCUCUUUCAGUGCAGCACCCGAGUGGGGAGAGUUGGGGGGGACUGAGUUCUGUCUUGGGUUCCCUUUGCUCCUCGGACUUGCCAACAGCCUAGAAAGCCUGAAGCCUCUAGGAGGAGGGAAAGAAAGAGUGCUAGGGGCAGAACGGGACUUUGUGAACUUUUCACACGAGGUUUCUAACCCAUCGCCCUCAGAGGUAUUAUUAACUCUCCUGUUUGGGUCCAGGGAGGUGAAGCUCCUGCAGGACUGUCUGUGGACCCAGGGCUUGGAAUGGACCCUCUUAGAACUUCGCUUCCGCUCCUGGCGGCUGGCUCUGUGGCCGCCCAAGGCCCGGGAGCUGUGAGACUUGGCAAAGUAAUUAAGACUGAGAACCCAACCGAGCGGAGCUGAGUAAAAGGUGGGCGGGCCCAGCCCUCAGGCCAAAUGUUUUGGAAAGGCAAAAGCUGGAGAGUUGGAGAAACUAGAAAAACUUUGCCAACUACUGGACUCAGAGAUGGUAAAGGCACAUGGCAGAAGGAUCCUAAGCCCCUGGAUAACACAUGGAGCAGAUCUCUUCAUUCCCCUGCCUCACCAACCUGCAUUGAACUGUGAUGGAACCCCUCAGAAGGAGAGGUGUCACCAGUACCCAGGUGACCCGUGGGCUGUGUGGAGAUCCUUUCCCUCUGGAUAGAGCAUCAAAGCUGGGACAUGGAAGCAACCUAGAUGCCCA